rnacentral:rRNA from 1 species
UACGGAGGGGGCUAGCGUUGUUCGGAAUUACUGGGCGUAAAGCGCACGUAGGCGGCUUGUUAAGUCAGGGGUGAAAUCCUGGAGCUCAACUCCAGAACUGCCUUUGAUACUGGCGAGCUUGAGUUCGGGAGAGGUGAGUGGAACUGCGAGUGUAGAGGUGAAAUUCGUAGAUAUUCGCAAGAACACCAGUGGCGAAGGCGGCUCACUGGCCCGAUACUGACGCUGAGGUGCGAAAGCGUGGGGAGCAAACAGG